GAUUUUGCCUAUGUGUAUAUCUGUGCGCUAUGCAUCUGUAGUACCCAUGGAGGCCAGAAGAGGGCGUCAGAUCCCGUGUGACUGGAGACAAUUGUGAACGGCCACGUGGGUGCUGAGAAUCAAACCUGGGUCCUCUGGAAGAACACCAGUGCUCUUAACCACUGAGCCAUCUCUCCAGCCUUGACAUUUUUAGAUUUUAAACUAUAAGGGUAUCUUAGUUUGGGUUUCUAGUGCUAUGAAGAAGUACCAUGAUGAAGGCAACACUUAUAAAAGCAAACAAUUAACUAAGUUUCAGAGAUUUAGUCCAUUAUCAUCAUGGGAAGAAGGAUGGCAGUAUGCAGGCAGACAUGGUGCUGGAGGAACCAAUAAGUCUACAUCUUGAUCAGAAGGCAGCCAGGAGAAGACUGGAAUCCUCAGGCAGCUAGGAGGAAGCUCUCUUCUGCAGUGGGUGGAGCCUGGGCAUAGGAAGAGACCUCCAAAUCCCACCCCCACAGAGACACACUUCCUCCAACAAGGCCACACCCCUUAACAGUGUGGCUUGCUAUGGGCCAAGAAUAUUCAAAUCACCACAAAGGAAAAGUGAUGUUAGGAAAGAUAAUAUGGAUCCAAGUAUGGGAGAGUCACAAGCAAGUGUCUUCACAUUAGCUGUCUGUACCACUUUUCUUAGGUUACAUUGUAAAAAAAGUUGCUAGGAAGCUUUUUCUUCCUUUCUCUCUCUGUUGGCAAAUAACUUUAUAAGGCAGCUCUGGAGAUGACUUGGGUGGAACUACAAUCUGAUCAGGUAAAAAAACCAAAAAACCAAAAAAACCCAAAACAAACAAACAAACAAACAAAAAAACCCGGGAGCCGUGAGGGCUGUACAAGGAGGUCGGUAUAUAAAGGGUUUCUGGGGAGGUUCCUAAGAAGUUACAGGUCUGUAGCUAGGGAAGGGGAGAGGCCUUGAGCAGUUGUUAAUUGUGUGGAACUCUUCUUGCUGAGCUGAUGAGGGGCUUGAGUAGUCUUAAAAGCCAGGAAUGAUGUAGAGCAAGACGGGUAAUUUGUUUUUUUUUUUUUUAAAUUAUGUAGAUUAUAUUGUUUGUUAUUUUUUUAAAAUGAGUUUUGGUAUUAAAGUAUUCAUUUUGAGAGUUACUAAACAGAAAAUGGUAAUUCCACUUCAGAAUAAUAAAAAAUUAGUUAAGGCAGAUACAUAGUUUAUGGAGGGUGAGUUGUGUGUUAUCUUGAACUUCUCUGAAGAGUUUCUUAGAAGAAUUAUAGACACUGGAAAUGAUAUAUAACUUAUAGUUAUCAAUCAGAACUAUGGUCAGCAUCCUUAUCUGUGACCUCUCAUUGUGAACUUACUCCAAAAUUGAUGGAAUUAGGUCAGUGCUAAAAGUUCAUUGUAUUUUUAGCCCUAAAUGUUUUUAUAUCAUGCCCCACUCCCAACCGAGGCUCAGAAACCGUUGUGGAAGAGGGAGCAGAAAGACAGUAAGCCAGAGGACGUUGGUGAGCACAAGGGAACAGAGGGCAUGCACACGCACGGACUCCCAGCAGUUAUGACAGCACACAGCAUGUGAGCCUGAGCAAUAACGACAAAAUCCCAGCAUGGACAGGGAACAUGGGUUUGAAGACUUACUACUAGUUGAGGACUUAUAGUAGCCGAGAGAAAGAGCCAGUUUUCCUUAAGGAUGUAGCUUCUGGUGGGUUGACCAGGUUUCAGCGGAAGGCCACACACCCAGGAAUAUAUGGGCAGCACACACUGGACUUCAUGGAUUUCAGAAAAGAAAGGGAGUGGGUACAAAGUUCGGUGGGUAGGAGACAGGGGUAGAGUGUGAAUCUGAGAGAAGUUGGGGCGGGAAGCAAAUAUAAUCAAAACACAUUUUACAAAAUUGUCAAGGAAAUAUUGACAAUAGAGUUUAUUGUAUCUUUUGUAAGCAAUUAAAAAAUUUCCUCAUAAGAAUAACAGUGCUUUCAAAACCAUAACUCAUCUUUCUUUUACCUUAUCCUAUUCUUUGUCCCUCUGUCUCUCCCUCUCUCUUUCUCUGUGUGUAGGCUAAUAGACAACCUUGACUGUUAGUCCUCAGGUUCCUCCCACCUUAUGUUAAUACAGGGCCUCUAACUAGCUUGGAACUCACCAAAUAGGGCAGGUUAGAUGGCCAGGACACCCCAAGAAUAUGGCUGUCUGCACCUUCCCUGUGCUGGGAUGAUAGGCAAGUGCCAUUAUGCAUGGCCUUAAAACACCCACACCCACACACCCACACACCAUUUAUUUGUUUCUUUGUGUUUGUGUAUGUGUGUGUGUGUAUAUGUGUGUGUGUGUGUAUGUGUGGUGGUGGUGACAUGUGCCAUGGUGCCUGCAUGUAGGUAGAAGGACAAAUUGUUGUUUCCUUUCAUUGUGGGUCCUGGGGAUUGAACUCCAGUCCUUAUGUUUGUGAGACAAACAGUUUACUCACUGAACUAUCUCUCUAGCCCUCAUGUUUUCCUUUUUUUGUUUUUUGAGACGGAGUCUUGUUAGGGAGCUCAGGUGCACCCUUGAACUCAGGAUCCUCUCACCCCAGUUCGGAAAUACAGGUGUGCACCGCCUGUACAAACUACAGCCCAUUUCAUUUCUAACCAUCCGCAUGAAUCUCACCCAAGCUCUAUCACAGAAUUGAGAAGGUUCCUUUGGGCCAGGGGUAGAACAAAAAGUGGUGUGAGAGAGCUUCCUGUUAAAAGGAAACUCAGAGCACUCGGCAGUCAUUUGGGAUGUUUGUACUUGGUUAUUUUUGUUAAAGCAAGUGCAUUAAAAAUAAUAAGACAGUGUAUUAAAUCAUGACAAGGCUUUGACUUGGAGCCGGCCUUCAGUAAAAACAGAAAGUACUUUAUUAUUUUGAGAACCAUUUUCCUCCCAAGCACCAACACAAGCAAUAUAUUCAUGAAUAAAAUCCCACCAGUGUGUGAGGCCAGUCUGAUGAAAAUGAAAAGGCACAUAUAAAUUGUCACACAGCAAGAUGAAAGCUGUGCUCUUUAUGCACGGAAACCAUUUUCUAUUAGAAUUACAAAGGAAGCCAGUUUACAGAAAGAACAUGGAGUUUUGCAUUAUGUAAAAAGACCCUCUACUAAUGUGCUCUGAUGUACAGUCACAUUCACUUUGACAGGGAAAGCAGGAGUGACCAUUGCCUGCACCACAAUAGAGGGAUUUUUAUGCAUGUUGCCAUGGCCAUUGUUUGUCAACUUCUCGGAACCUAGGAUCACCAAAGGACAGAGUCUCAGUGAGGCCUUGCCUAGAUCAAGUUGGUCUGCUGGCAUGCUGACCAGAGAUUUUUUUUUUCUUUAAUAGGUCAACCAAAGUGUGAAGCAGCAGCCCACCAUGGUUGGUGGCAUUCCCUAGGUUUGCAACCUGCACAGAGAGUAGUCAGUGAGCAGAGUAGGAAGCAUGCAGGCACUGAUGCUCUUCUUGCUCUUGACUGUGGAUGGGACUGGUUCCCUUAAGUUCCCAUGGCCUUGACUUUACCCCAGUGAUGCUCGGUAAACAGGACAUGUUAGCUAAGAAGUGAUUUUUCUUUUUAAGUAUCACUCAGAGUCAGACAUUUUAUCACCACAACAGAGACAAAACUAGGGCACUUAAAAGUUUUCAUCUUCUGACAACUGAUAGAGAAGUGGAGACGUGAGGAGGCACUGUCUUCUGGAGAGACUUUGGCAGUGAAGCUAUCCCAUUCUGAGGACUUCUGAGUAUCUGCUCUUCAUGCUAUAAAUAGGUCUUUAACUUACUUAACAGUACAUGAUGGAUCUGUGACCUGAGCCAUAAACUGAUGCGUGAAAACAGGUUUCGUUUUGACAGGAGUAUGGGUCCUUGUCCCUCUCUGUCAAUCCUUUUCUUGUUUCAUCUAAGAG
rnacentral:lncRNA from 1 species